rnacentral:rRNA from 1 species
AUUGAACGCUGGCGGCAUGCCUAACACAUGCAAGUCGAGCGGAAAAAGGGCGCUGGAUCCUGACUUCUGCGGCGGGCGGGAGAGUAAUACCUAAGCAUCUGCCUGGGAGGGGGAGAUAACGUCGGGAGACGGGCGCUAAUACCACACGCGCUCAGAGUGAGAACAGGGGGGAGCUUCGGACCGCGCGCUAGCAGCUGAGGCUAGGUCGGAUUAGCUAGUUGGUGGGGUAAAGGCAUACCACGGCGACGAUCCGUAACUGGUCUGAGAGGAUGAACAGCCACACUGGAACUGAGACACGGCCCAGACUCCUACGGGAGGCAGCAGUGGGGAAUAUUGGACAAUGGGCGAAAGCCUGAUCCAGCCAUGCCGCGUGUAUGAUGAAGGUCUUCGGAUUGUAAAGUACUUUAAUUUGGGAGGAAGAGCAGUAAGUUAAUACCUUGCUGUUUUGACGUUACCAUAAGAAUAAGCACCGGCUAACUUCGUG